rnacentral:sRNA from 1 species
UGCGCCGGUAAAAAUGGCGAAAUGGGGGUAGUCGGCGUUGGACCUGAAGAGAUGGGGCGCGCAGGUGGGGCGGUUGUCAGAGCCCCCUGACGUGGGCGCCCAGCUUUUAUCGGCGAUUUGAUCUGGCGACCUCGGGCCGGCGCCUAAGAGGUCAGACUACGGAGCCUGCGGGUCGCCAACGGCCCCGCCAAGAGCCGGAGGCAAUGGAUGAACAGAGCGUGGAGAGCAUUGCUGAGGUUUUCCGAUGUUUCAUUUGUAUGGAGAAAUUGCGGGAUGCACGCCUGUGUCCUCAUUGCUCCAAGCUGUGUUGUUUCAGCUGUAUUAGGCGCUGGCUGACAGAGCAGAGAGCUCAAUGUCCUCAUUGCCGAGUCUCGCUCUGUCGUCCAGGCCGGAGUGCAGUGGCACAAUCUCAGCUCACUGCAGCCUCGACCUCCUGGGCUUAGUGCUCCACUCCAGCUACGAGAACUAGUAAAUUGUCGUUGGGCAGAAGAAGUAACACAACAGCUUGAUACUCUUCAACUCUGCAGUCUCACCAAACAUGAAGAAAAUGAAAAGGACAAGUAUGUCUUCAAUUUCUUUGUUCAGUGUUGAAUGGAUUUUGCCUUUGUGUUGUUUAAUGACACUAUAUUGGUAGUUGCCUUUUAGUUAUUUAUGAAUAAGUAGUGUUAUAUUUCUUGUUUUUAAUUCUUUCAGUCAUGUGCUGUUACUGUUAAGUAACAUAUUCUUAUUGUGUUUAUUUAACAACAGUUAUUUUAUGCCAUGUAUACACACAGAUACCUCUCGCCCUCCCCUCCCACCACACAGAAAGUACUUUGCUAGAUGAUAGGCAUACAGAGGUAAAUGAGACAUGAUUUCUGUUAACUGUUCAAUGGGG